rnacentral:rRNA from 1 species
ACUCCUACGGAAGGCAGCAGUGGGGAAUCUUCCGCAAUGGACGAAAGUCUGACGGAGCAACGCCGCGUGUACGACGAAGGCCUUCGGGUUGUAAAGUACUGUCUUCAGGGACGAACGGUAAGUAUGUAAAGAAUGCACUUACAUGACGGUACCUGAGGAGGAAGCCCCGGCUAACUACGUGCCAGCAGCCGCGGUAAUACGUAGGGGGCAAGCGUUGUCCGGAAUCAUUGGGCGUAAAGGGCGCGUAGGCGGAUACUUAAGUCUGGUGUGAAAACCUGG